rnacentral:rRNA from 1 species
UACGGAAGGUCCGGGCGUUAUCCGGAUUUAUUGGGUUUAAAGGGAGCGCAGGCCGGGAUUUAAGCGUGACGUGAAAUGCCGCGGCUCAACCGUGGAAGUGCGUCGCGAACUGGGUUCCUUGAGUGCGUUCGACGCUGGCGGAAUUCGUGGUGUAGCGGUGAAAUGCUUAGAUAUCGCGAAGAACUCCGAUUGCGAAGGCAGCCAGCGAGUCCGCAACUGACGCUAAAGCUCGAAGGUGCGGGUAUCGAAC